CCUUGUUCCCAACAGUUUGUCUACAGGCUCCGCGUUUCGAAACCAGCUAAUUUUCGGGGUGGGAAUUCCGACGGCAUCACAAGGUAUAGAGACCAUCGACCCAUACUCUCCGAGUAUCUCUCGUUUCAAUUCGGUGAUGAAGUGGCCCAUCCGAUGUUUGCCAACUUACUUCUGGAGUUGGAUGACUCGCAAUUUCCGGUAAUUCCAAUACCACCGCGUCACCAGAUUCAACGAAGACUGCGCGUUCCUCCAAGUCUUCGAAUACCUCCAUAUCUGGAAAAAAAUAAUGUAGGACAUUCAAAGUAAUCUCGAAGCGACGAAUUGGCCGAAAAUUGUCGAGAGGUCAUUCUAAUUAUCAUACGUACA
rnacentral:misc_RNA from 1 species